rfam:Gossypium raimondii Chr04_contig_250, whole genome shotgun sequence.
ACGACCUUACUUGAGCAGGAUCUGUUCUAUAGGUUCGCACCUCUGUGUCCUUGAUUUCAAAGGAGACAGGAUACUAUGUUUGGUUAAUCCUUGGUUGAUGAAUCGAGUCUGUGAUCUGAGCGUGAUUGAUGGUGCGGUGAUUCCUUGCUGGUCUACCUUUAACCGCUAGCUGGGCUGGUCACACGGUUGUUUGACAGAUC